GACGAACGCUGGCGGCGUGCCUAAUACAUGCAAGUAGAACGCUGAGGUUUGGUGUUUACCUAGACUGAUGAGUUGCGAACGGGUGAGUAACGCGUAGGUAACCUGCCUCAUAGCGGGGGAUAACUAUUGGAAACGAUAGCUAAUACCGCAUAAGAGUAAUUAACACAUGUUAGUUAUUUAAAAGGAGCAAUUGCUUCACUGUGAGAUGGACCUGCGUUGUAUUAGCUAGUUGGUGAGGUAAAGGCUCACCAAGGCGACGAUACAUAGCCGACCUGAGAGGGUGAUCGGCCACACUGGAACUGAGACACGGUCCAGACUCCUACGGGAGGCAGCAGUAGGGAAUCUUCCGCAAUGGGCGAAAGCCUGACGGAGCAACGCCGCGUGAGUGAUGAAGGUCUUCGGAUCGUAAAACUCUGUUAUUAGGGAAGAACAUAUGUGUAAGUAACUGUGCACAUCUUGACGGUACCUAAUCAGAAAGCCACGGCUAACUACGUGCCAGCAGCCGCGGUAAUACGUAGGUGGCAAGCGUUAUCCGGAAUUAUUGGGCGUAAAGCGCGCGUAGGCGGUUUUUUAAGUCUGAUGUGAAAGCCCACGGCUCAACCGUGGAGGGUCAUUGGAAACUGGAAAACUUGAGUGCAGAAGAGGAAAGUGGAAUUCCAUGUGUAGCGGUGAAAUGCGCAGAGAUAUGGAGGAACACCAGUGGCGAAGGCGACUUUCUGGUCUGUAACUGACGCUGAUGUGCGAAAGCGUGGGGAUCAAACAGGAUUAGAUACCCUGGUAGUCCACGCCGUAAACGAUGAGUGCUGAGUGUUAGGGGGUUUCCGCCCCUUAGUGCUGCAGCUAACGCAUUAAGCACUCCGCCUGGGGAGUACGACCGCAAGGUUGAAACUCAAAGGAAUUGACGGGGACCCGCACAAGCGGUGGAGCAUGUGGUUUAAUUCGAAGCAACGCGAAGAACCUUACCAAAUCUUGACAUCCUUUGACAACUCUAGAGAUAGAGCCUUCCCCUUCGGGGGACAAAGUGACAGGUGGUGCAUGGUUGUCGUCAGCUCGUGUCGUGAGAUGUUGGGUUAAGUCCCGCAACGAGCGCAACCCUUAAGCUUAGUUGCCAUCAUUAAGUUGGGCACUCUAAGUUGACUGCCGGUGACAAACCGGAGGAAGGUGGGGAUGACGUCAAAUCAUCAUGCCCCUUAUGAUUUGGGCUACACACGUGCUACAAUGGACAAUACAAAGGGCAGCGAAACCGCGAGGUCAAGCAAAUCCCAUAAAGUUGUUCUCAGUUCGGAUUGUAGUCUGCAACUCGACUACAUGAAGCUGGAAUCGCUAGUAAUCGUAGAUCAGCAUGCUACGGUGAAUACGUUCCCGGGUCU
rnacentral:rRNA from 1 species